GGUUGGUUACUCACUUCCCAAAGUUCGCUCCGCUGCUCAGGUUGUUGAACUCAUCGUCGUCCGAGCUCGAGUCGGACUCUGAGUCCGGAGGUUCGGUUCGGAGAAGCCGGUGACCAGACCCCUUUUUGGUCUUCUUUCUCUUGCUGUCCCCGAGUCCGAUCAAGGCGUUCAGCUCCUUCCUCUUCUUCAUUUUCUUCUGAGGGGUCAGCGAACCCGCCGAGCCCGACUUGUACCCGACUAAAUCCAAAGUUUUGUCCAGUUUGGUGGAUGUUGACGUUUACGAAGCAGCUAUGCUACUGUGAUGCUUUUAGCUAGCUUUAACCAAACAAGAUGACUGAUUCAAACACAUCGGACUUUGUUGUUUGGUGGCCUCGUUGACAAACGCAGAUAUUCAACAGCUGACCGGUCUUAGGUUAGCAAUUCAAGUGACACCUCUCGUUAACUUAUUUCGCUGUUGUCCGCCGGUCCUCACAUAUGUUAGCUAAUGUUUCCUCAGCUAGCGCCUGACACCUUGCUAACACCUCGCCGUCGUUACUGUGAUAUCACAUCGCAGUGAGCUUUGAUAUAACCUGCCUGGUCAAUCAUUUUCGAAACAACUGUGUUAAAAUAUUCGUACAGUAUAAAAUGUAUCUUUAGGAAAUUAAAAAUACACUCUACUGUAUAUACAGCGAUAUGUCCUGUUGCCCGUAUUGUUCCAGCAAAGGCGUCCAAGUAAUCUCACACCCGAUUGGUCUAGCGAGCAGAUACAAGUUCCGGUGCUCUGUUCUGUCAGGGAGCGAAACAGAGCACAGCACCACCUGCGUCAACCUGCUAGUUCACAACGCCGCAAUCACAACAUCAAGCCAAGGGCGAUAAAGAACACCUGGUGAGGGGACAAGCAUCACGCUGAGGGCCUAUGCAGACCCCCGUCGGCAUGAGGCUGCAAAUCAAAGCAUCAGAGGUGUUUCAUCUCGUCUCCAGAGUCUCUACAUUUCAUCCAGGGUUAAGACUGAGAGGAUGACACUUCAACUUAUGGCUUCUUACAUCUGCAGCUACGAGUCUCUAGAGGCCUCAGGAGGACUUUGCUCAGACUCCCAGAAUGGUGAGGUCGAAGUCAUCCAGCAGUGGCCUCCGUCUGGCAUUUUACCCAGAGCACAUCCUGUGGGAGCGGGAGCUUUGGAGCCGGCUGCGCGACCACAUCAAACAAUGGCUUUUUGUUGUAAACAAAGCCAGGGCAGCUUGCCGGGGGCCCUCUCUCUCUCUCUCUCUCUCUCUCUCUCUCUCUCUCUCUCUCUCUCUCUCUCUCUCUCUCUCUCUCUCUCUUUCUCUCUCUCUCCACACGCUUACGGCCUGGAUCCAGUCUGCCUACUAUAAUUCUGGACUGUCAGACAAAUGUGCGCCAAUGCACCACAAGUCUUUCUGUUGCAUUUGCAUUUGUACACAGCAACCAUGAACCUGGCAGCACAACAGACAAAUUCAAAUUUGUGGAAAAUAGUUAAGCUAGAUGAAAAGCAAAACUAACGGUUAGCCUCGAGAGGAUAGUUAAAACACAAUCACCUGAACAGUUGUUUGACUGCACAGCACAAAACAUAAUGUCCUUAUGUUUGUUUAUUGGUUGGUGAACCACUGCUGCAGCUGCUUUGUCCAGAGGACAGAGCACCAGUUGUGCAUAAAAUAUUUAAUGUGGAUUUGUUUUCCUGAAAUACACAAUAACAUAUGCUUGUCCCUAAGUUUUAUCUCCACCAUUAAAGAAUGCAUUGUGUUAAAAUGAA